AUGUACGAGCGGUACAUGCCGAUUCCGAGCAUCUGCCCACACCCGCCUGGCGGCUGCACGGUUGUUGUGUCAGCU
rnacentral:sRNA from 1 species